AACAAAUAGAGUAACAGUUACCAGCCUCCUGCUGAAGGAACUUUGGUUAAAGAUUGAGGUUGGAAUAUUAUCUUAAGGAAGAUAACUCAGAAAUGUCAGAAAUGGAAUUCCUAAAUGGAAAAAUAUGGUAUCUGUUCCUGGAACCUUAUAAAAAGGGGAAAAUGGAGAAAAAUCUGUCAACCCCAGCAUCUGUCACAUUCUGACUUCCAAAAUCAUGAGAGUGGGUUUGGUUGAUCACCAAGGUCCACUUCCAGCUGUGCAUACAAAUGACUGUAAAUCCAGGUGUGCAGAGAACCAGGCUUACUCUGCUUCCAGUAGGAAUGGGGAAGGUGGACACUUUAAAGAACAUUCAUUUGCUUUACUUUACUUCUCCCAAAUAAAAAACUUCCCUGCUUUUACUGUUAUGA